UACGUAGGGGGCAAGCGUUGUCCGGAAUCAUUGGGCGUAAAGAGCGUGUAGGCGGCCAUACAGGUCCGUUGUGAAAACUGGAGGCUUAACCUCCAGACGUCGAUGGAAACCGUAUGGCUAGAGUCCGGAAGAGGAGAGUGGAAUUCCUGGUGUAGCGGUGAAAUGCGCAGAUAUCAGGAAGAACACCCGUGGCGAAGGCGGCUCUCUGGGACGGUACUGACGCUGAGACGCGAAAGCGUGGGGAGCGAACAGG
rnacentral:rRNA from 1 species